AGUGAACGCUGGCGGUAGGCCUAACACAUGCAAGUCGAACGGCAGCACAGUAAGAGCUUGCUCUUACGGGUGGCGAGUGGCGGACGGGUGAGGAAUACAUCGGAAUCUACUUUUUCGUGGGGGAUAACGUAGGGAAACUUACGCUAAUACCGCAUACGACCUACGGGUGAAAGCAGGGGAUCUUCGGACCUUGCGCGAUUGAAUGAGCCGAUGUCGGAUUAGCUAGUUGGCGGGGUAAAGGCCCACCAAGGCGACGAUCCGUAGCUGGUCUGAGAGGAUGAUCAGCCACACUGGAACUGAGACACGGUCCAGACUCCUACGGGAGGCAGCAGUGGGGAAUAUUGGACAAUGGGCGCAAGCCUGAUCCACCCAUACCGCGUGGGUGAAGAAGGCCUUCGGGUUGUAAAGCCCUUUUGUUGGGAAAGAAAAGCAGCAGGUUAAUACCCCGCUGUUCUGACGGUACCCAAAGAAUAAGCACCGGCUAACUUCGU
rnacentral:rRNA from 1 species